CUGCUAUAAGACAAAUGCAAGCCUGGUCAGGCCCAUGGGUCCAUACUUGUCUAUAACUUGUGUUUUUUUUUAUCGAACAAGCGUUGCUUCUUAUUGAACACCUCUGUUUUGGACUUUAAACUCAAAAUGUUCAUCAAUAUUAAGGUUAUUCCAUUGUAGCAAUUCAGAUUGCCAAAGGAUGGAUGAUUGCACUGAAAUGACACUGUAAGACAGUGGAAGAAGUUGCCCCUAACCACUGAUACAGAGUCAGAUACAUUUUCACCCACCUAAUGAUCCAGGCCGGUGGUGGCUGGUCCCCUUCAAGAAGUUGAGG